rnacentral:rRNA from 1 species
AUGAACGCUGGCGGCGUGCCUAAUACAUGCAAGUCGAGCGAACAGACGAGGAGCUUGCUCCUCUGACGUUAGCGGCGGACGGGUGAGUAACACGUGGAUAACCUACCUAUAAGACUGGGAUAACUUCGGGAAACCGGAGCUAAUACCGGAUAAUAUAUUGAACCGCAUGGUUCAAUAGUGAAAGACGGUUUUGCUGUCACUUAUAGAUGGAUCCGCGCCGCAUUAGCUAGUUGGUAAGGUAACGGCUUACCAAGGCAACGAUGCGUAGCCGACCUGAGAGGGUGAUCGGCCACACUGGAACUGAGACACGGUCCAGACUCCGACGGGAGGCAGCAGUAGGGAAUCUUCCGCAAUGGGCGAAAGCCUGACGGAGCAACGCCGCGUGAGUGAUGAAGGUCUUCGGAUCGUAAAACUCUGUUAUUAGGGAAGAACAAAUGUGUAAGUAACUAUGCACGUCUUGACGGUACCUAAUCAGAAAGCCACGGCUAACUACGUG